AACGAACGCUGGCGGCAGGCUUAACACAUGCAAGUCGAGCGCCCCGCAAGGGGAGCGGCAGACGGGUGAGUAACGCGUGGGAACGUACCCUUCUCUACGGAAUAACACAGAGAAAUUUGUGCUAAUACCGUAUACGCCCUUCGGGGGAAAGAUUUAUCGGAGAAGGAUCGGCCCGCGUAGGAUUAGCUAGUUGGUGUGGUAACGGCGCACCAAGGCGACGAUCCUUAGCUGGUCUGAGAGGAUGACCAGCCACACUGGGACUGAGACACGGCCCAGACUCCUACGGGAGGCAGCAGUGGGGAAUAUUGGACAAUGGGCGCAAGCCUGAUCCAGCCAUGCCGCGUGAGUGAUGAAGGCCUUAGGGUUGUAAAGCUCUUUCACCCACGACGAUAAUGACGGUAGUGGGAGAAGAAGCCCCGGCUAACUUCGUGCCAGCAGCCGCGGUAAUAC
rnacentral:rRNA from 1 species